AGCUAAUAACCGCAUAACAAUGGAUGACACAUGUCAUUUAUUUUGUAAAGGGGGCAAUUGCUCCACUACAAGAUGGACCUGCGUUGUAUUAGCUAGUAGGUGAGGUAAUGGCUCACCUAGGCGACGAUACAUAGCCGACCUGAGAGGGUGAUCGGCCACACUGGGACUGAGACACGGCCCAGACUCCUACGGGAGGCAGCAUG
rnacentral:rRNA from 1 species